UUUAUUGCCUCAUUUUUUUUUCUAUCGGUUUCCUCAUCUAUCCAUCCAUACAUAUAUCCAGAGCCAGAGAUAAUUAUAUUACAGAAAAGAAACAGCAGCGGAUACUAUAAUUCACAUAUAGUACAAUCAGAGAACAGACAAAAGAGUCCAAAAGAAAUAUCUACACUAGCCACACAGGCUACAAAAGAAAGCCUACCAAAGGCUACAAAACAAAAAGCUGAACUCGACAGAAAGAUCUUCAGACUGGAGGCCCUGCACCUGAAAUAUUAACCACAUAUAAUGAGCUUACAAAGCCCAGCAGGUCACCAAAGCCUACAACUGAAAUCAAAGCACGGCGAUGCUAUCAAUAUGCAGGUCGAUAAAAUCAAGUCAAUCAAUGGUCAAUGAGUCUAUGCAAUGCGGAAUCCAGAGUCAAUGAAAUCAAGUCUAUACAGCAGAAAUCAAAUCAGUAAGUCAAUGCCGUACGGAAAUCAAUAGUCGAUUAUCAAUACAACGGUAAAAACAUCGAUAAAUUGCAAUCAAAUCAGUAAGUGACUGGAAGCCAAUAUCUAUCCAUCGUAGUAGUGUCUAUCAAUCAAUACUAUCAGCUCAAUCUCUAUCGCGUCGUCUAGUCAAUUCGUUGAAUCUAUAUC